ACGCUCGACACCUACGGAGGCAGCAGUGGGGAAUAUUGCACAAUGGGGGAAACCCUGAUGCAGCAACGCCGCGUGAAGGAAGACGGUUUUCGGAUUGUAAACUUCUGUUCUUAGUGAAGAUAGUGACGGUAGCUAAGGAGCAAGCCACGGCUAACUACGUGCCAGCAGCCGCGGUAUCUGAGCGGGCUGGCGAAGGC
rnacentral:rRNA from 1 species